rnacentral:rRNA from 1 species
UACGUAGGACCCAAGCGUUAUCCGGAUUGACUGGGCGUAAAGAGUUGCGUAGGUGGUUUGUUAAGCGAAUAGUGAAAUCUUGUGGCUCAACCAUGAGGCUAUUAUUCGAACUGGCAAACUCGAGAAUGGUAGAGGUAUCUGGAAUUCCCAGUGUAGGAGUGAAAUCCGUAGAUAUUGGGAGGAACACCGAUGGCGUAGGCAGGAUACUGGACCAUUUCUGACACUAAGGCACGAAAGCGUGGGGAUCAAACAGG